rnacentral:rRNA from 1 species
AAAGGAAUAGACGGGGGCCCGCACAAGCAGCGGAGCAUGUUGUUUAAUUCGAAGCAACGCGAAGAACCUUACCAUGUCUUGACAUCGGUGUAAAGCCCUGGAGACAGGGUGUGUUUUCGGACAAUGCCAGACAGGUGGUGCAUGGUUGUCGUCAGCUCGUGUCGUGAGAUGUUGGGUUAAGUCCCGCAACGAGCGCAACCCUUAUGGUCAGUUACUAACGGGUAAAGCCGAGGACUCUGACAAGACUGCCGGGGACAACUCGGAGGAAGGUGGGGACGACGUCAAAUCAUCAUGCCCCUUAUGACAUGGGCUACAAACGUGCUACAAUGGUGGUUACAAAGAGGAGCGAGCCCGUAAGGGUAAGCGGAUCUCAAAAAAGCCAUCUCAGUUCGGAUUGUGGGCUGCAACCCGCCCACAUGAAGUUGGAGUUGCUAGUAAUCGCGGAUCAGCAUGCCGCGGUGAAUACGUUCCCGGGCCUUGUACACACCGCCCGU